rnacentral:rRNA from 1 species
GACGUAGGGCGCGAGCGUUGUCCGGAUUUAUUGGGCGUAAAGAGCUCGUAGGCGGUCUGUCGCGUCUGCUGUGAAAACCUAAGGCUCAACCUUGGGCUUGCAGUGGGUACGGGCAGACUAGAGUGCGGUAGGGGUGACUGGAAUUCCUGGUGUAGCGGUGGAAUGCGCAGAUAUCAGGAGGAACACCGAUGGCGAAGGCAGGUCACUGGGCCGCAACUGACGCUGAGGAGCGAAAGCAUGGGGAGCGAACAGG